rnacentral:tRNA from 1 species
UGGCUCAGUGGUUAAGAGCACUGGCUAUUCUUCCAGAGUACUGGGUUCAAUUCCCAG